rnacentral:snRNA from 1 species
GUGCUCGCUUCAGCAGCACAUAUGCUAAAAUUGGAAUGAUACAGAGAAGAUUAGCAUGGCCCCUGCACAAGGAUGACACAGAAAUUCGUGAAGCGUUCCAUAUUUUU